UACAGAGGGUGCGAACGUUGCUCGGAAUUACUGGGCGUAAAGCGCGUGUAGGUAGGUCGAUAAGUCGGGCGUGAAAUCCCUGGGCUCAACCCGGGAACUGCGCUCGAAACUGCCGAUCUUGAGUGCCGGAGAGGGUGGCGGAAUUCCUGGUGUAGAGGUGAAAUUCGUAGAGAUCAGGAGGAACACCGGUGGCGAAGGCGGCCACCUGGACGGCUACUGACACUGAGCCGCGAAAGCGUGGGGAGCAAACAGG
rnacentral:rRNA from 1 species